UUCCCUCUUUCAUCAUUCGAAAAAAAACCUCUCUCUGUAACUCACGCCUUCUCUCUCAAAAUCUUAUACCCAAAAAUUAAAAGCAAAGUUCCCAUCUCUUCUUCCUUGCUCUCCUAACACACUCCAUAGAGCAAAAAUCUCGGUUCCCAUCAUAGAUCUCUCUAAAUCUCAAUUCACAGGAACAAAAAAAAAAUCCCACUCCAGUCACAACUCUCUCUCUCUCUCGGUCUCGCCGGUAAUAGCUCGCCGCCGCUGCCCCUGUCACGCUCGGCCUCCGUCGCCGCAGCCACUGUCCGUUCACGACAGACAUUGGAACUUUAAGAAUUGAGCUCGAAGGAAAUAAAUGAAGAUCAACACAGGGAUUUUACGUGGUUCGAUUUACUGAUGUAAAU